rnacentral:rRNA from 1 species
GACGAACGCUGGCGGCGUGCUUAACACAUGCAAGUCGAACGGUGAACUUGGGAGCUUGCUCCUGGGGGAUCAGUGGCGAACGGGUGAGUAACACGUGAGCAAUCUGCCCUUGACUCUGGGAUAAGCGUUGGAAACGACGUCUAAUACCGGAUACGACCAUCCCCGGCAUCGGGAGGUGGUGGAAAGAAUUUUGGUCAAGGAUGAGCUCGCGGCCUAUCAGCUUGUUGGUGAGGUAAUGGCUCACCAAGGCGACGACGGGUAGCCGGCCUGAGAGGGUGACCGGCCACACUGGGACUGAGACACGGCCCAGACUCCUACGGGAGGCAGCAGUGGGGAAUAUUGCACAAUGGGCGCAAGCCUGAUGCAGCAACGCCGCGUGAGGGACGACGGCCUUCGGGUUGUAAACCUCUUUUAGCAGGGAAGAAGCGAAAGUGACGGUACCUGCAGAAAAAGCACCGGCUAACUACGUGCCAGCAGCCGCGGUAAUACGUAGGGUGCAAGCGUUGUCCGGAAUUAUUGGGCGUAAAGAGCUCGUAGGCGGUUUGUCGCGUCUGCUGUGAAAUCCCGAGGCUCAACCUCGGGCCUGCAGUGGGUACGGGCAGACUAGAGUGCGGUAGGGGAGAUUGGAAUUCCUAGUGUAGCGGUGGAAUGCGCAGAUAUCAGGAGGAACACCGAUGGCGAAGGCAGAUCUCUGGGCCGUAACUGACGCUGAGGAGCGAAAGCGUGGGGAGCGAACAGGAUUAGAUACCCUGGUAGUCCACGCCGUAAACGUUGGGAACUAGAUGUGGGGACCAUUCCACGGUCUCCGUGUCGCAGCUAACGCAUUAAGUUCCCCGCCUGGGGAGUACGGCCGCAAGGCUAAAACUCAAAGGAAUUGACGGGGGCCCGCACAAGCGGCGGAGCAUGCGGAUUAAUUCGAUGCAACGCGAAGAACCUUACCAAGGCUUGACAUAUACGAGAACGGGCCAGAAAUGGUCAACUCUUUGGACACUCGUAAACAGGUGGUGCAUGGUUGUCGUCAGCUCGUGUCGUGAGAUGUUGGGUUAAGUCCCGCAACGAGCGCAACCCUCGUCCUAUGUUGCCAGCACGUAAUGGUGGGAACUCAUGGGAUACUGCCGGGGUCAACUCGGAGGAAGGUGGGGAUGACGUCAAAUCAUCAUGCCCCUUAUGUCUUGGGCUUCACGCAUGCUACAAUGGCCGGUACAAAGGGCUGCAAUACCGUAAGGUGGAGCGAAUCCCAAAAAGCCGGUCUCAGUUCGGAUUGAGGUCUGCAACUCGACCUCAUGAAGUCGGAGUCGCUAGUAAUCGCAGAUCAGCAACGCUGCGGUGAAUACGUUCCCGGGCCU